CUGUAGCACAAUGGGUGUAGCACUUUGGACUUCUAAUUCAAAGGUCAUGGGUUUAUAUCCCAACUGAACUUCCA